rnacentral:rRNA from 1 species
CCAAUAGCGUAUAUUAAAGUUGUUGCAGUUAAAAAGCUCGUAGUUGAAUUUCGGGGUCAGCAGGUUGGUCGUGCCAUUGGUAUGCACUGGCUUCGCUGAUUCCUCCUUUCUGAAGAACUGUAAUGUCAUUAAUUUGGUGUUGCAGGGAAACAGGACUGUUACUUUGAAAAAAUUAGAGUGUUUAAAGCAAGCUAACGCUUGAAUACAUUAGCAUGGAAUAAUGAAAUAGGACGUUUGAUCCUAUUUUGUUGGUUUCUAGGAUUGACGUAAUGAUUAAUAGGGAUAGUUGGGGGCAUUAGUAUUCAAUUGUCAGAGGUGAAAUUCUUGGAUUUAUUGAAGACUAACUACUGCGAAAGCAUUUGCCAAGGAUGUUUUCAUUAAUCAAGAACGAAAGUUAGGGGAUCGAAGACGAUCAGAUACCGUCGUAGUCUUAACCAUAAACUAUGCCGACUAGGGAUCGGAUGAUGUUAAUUCUCUAAUGACUCAUUCGGCGCCUUACG